CUUACCGUGCGGGUGGCGGGCGGCGGCGCUCGGCUCGGCGCGGCCUCUCUCAGCGCGACUGGGCCGAGCGCGGCGGCGGCUGCGGCGGGGCGGGCGGGCGGGAGGGGAGGGAGGGGCCGAGCUCGGAGCUGAGUGGAAGCGGCCAAGCUCCCCGGGCCGGGCCCGCCGUCAGCACGUCACGUCACUGCCCGAGAGAGACCCAGGAAAAGGCGGAAGGGAGCGCGCCGCCGCCGCUGCCCGCCGCCUCGGGCCAGCCGCCCGCUGGGGCCGGGGCCUGUGCCGGACGCGGCGCGGGAAAGGGUGGCGGCGGUGGUGGUGGCGGCGGCGGCGGCGACGGGAGGGGGAGGCGCGGCGCGGCGCGGCGGCGCUCGGCUCCCCGCGGCUCCUCCUGCCGCCGCCUCCGCCGCUGCUCGGCCGCCAAGCGCCGCUCGGGGCUCUGCGUGCGUCCCCGGAGCGGAGCGGCGGUCCCGGGGACCCCCACCCGACCCGGCCCCUCCAUACUGGAGCCUCCCCCGCCCUAAGGCCGCUAUCCCGCGGUGCAGGCCCGUGGCCCGGCCCGGCCUUGUUGUGGUGCGGCCCGGCGGGCCCCGCUCUGCCGCCGGCCUGGCCGAGGCGUCCCGGGGUGCGGAUAUGGGGGGAUUUUGGGGCGCGGAGAUGGAGCGAUGGGUGUUAGGGGGCCUCGGGCUUCGGGUGGUCUUGUGUCAGCGGGUAUGGCUGCACCCUGCAAGUAUUACUAACAGUAAUAACAACAGUUAAGCAGAGGGGCCCCAGAUUUUGGUGGGGAAAGUGGCUCCCACACGAAUUGGGAACGGUGCUACCCCCAGGGCUACUGGCACUUUUGUAAAAGGCAGCUGUGGUGCCUUGGCCCAGUGCUGCUCAUGCAAGGAGACAGAAAUGGGGGAAAAAGAAAGUGGGGAAAGGGUCUCCUUUCAUAGACUGCAGAACGUUUGGAGGAAUGUUCUGUCAAAAGCGAUGUGCUUGGCUGGCAGUGUUUUCUGCUCCUUGUCCUAAAAGUUAAUCAGAUUUUCUUUUGUUUUUCAAGAAAACAGUCACUGUUGAUCCAUGAGAGAUGCAGCCUAGAGUGUUCCAGCUAUUAGAAAUUACACACCACAAGCAGCCCUAUGGCAACAAGGAGGAUCAAACAGACCUCUUUGUGAGCUGUUGGUACAUGCGAUGAAGGUGAAAGGACUGGUAAUUCAACCUAAUGUUUCUGGAGGACAGCCUGAGAGAUCCUGAAAAAGAAGGUCUAGGGAAGACCCAAACAGUUAAAAGAACCCAAAAAUGAACUUUGUGUCAAGCAAAAUUCUUGCGGCUACAUGUGUAUGAGACAUGACAGCUCUUGGAAACCCUCAGGUCUCAGAUACCAUAUAGACAUGAAAAGUUGUCAUUUUUUAUCCUUUCAAGGUAAGAGAGGACAACUUACGUGUCUGUGCCACUUAUAGACACGUUUGACUGUUGCAGCCGAAAAGCUCCCGCACUGCGGUGCCGGAGGCAUCAGGCACUGCGCCGAGCAGCCGUGGCGAUGACGGUGGCAACGGCAGAGCUGACGCAGGACGGGCGCCCACCGCGGCCGGCCGUCAUCGGGCAGGCACAGGCGCCAUCGUACGGCCGGGAAGGGACGGGCUCUGGAGGCUGAGCUUGGCGCGGUACCUGGAAACGGCUGUGAGAAAGGGAGGGCAGCCGCUGGGAGGCCUGCAGGUGCCCAGCCCCGGCCAGGCAGCGAGAUGCCUUUCAGAUGCUUUUGGGUUUUGUAUGUAGCGGAACAAAACCGGCAGAGACGUUACUGAGGAAUUCACGCUUCUUCGGAGCGCGGUGUGAGCCGUGCCUGCGCUCGGCACUGCCCACGGACACGUGGAACUCUGAGAAAGAGUUACUGACGCGGCGCUGCAGCUCUGUGCCGUUGCACAAGAGGCCUCCGUGCGGUACUGCAGGGCUCUGUUGCGUCACACCGCCUCCUUACAUCAUCCUGAAGUAACAGCGCCUGACGCCACGCCUGCAGUCAGCGGCGGGCCUGGAGCAGUGCUCGUGUUUAACUGGAGCCACUGCACACUCCUGUAGGGGAGGUCAAACAUCAGGGCUGCACGGAAGUUGCACAUAAUGCAACAAAAUAAAAUGGUGUCCUCAUUUA